rnacentral:rRNA from 1 species
CGUAGGGUGCGAGCGUUGUCCGGAAUUACUGGGCGUAAAGAGCUCGUAGGUGGUUUGUCGCGUCGUUUGUGUAAGUCCACAGCUUAACUGUGGGACUGCAGGCGAUACGGGCAUAACUUGAGUGCUGUAGGGGAGACUGGAAUUCCUGGUGUAGCGGUGAAAUGCGCAGAUAUCAGGAGGAACACCGAUGGCGAAGGCAGGUCUCUGGGCAGUAACUGACGCUGAGGAGCGAAGCAUGGGUAGCGAACAGGAUU